AUUUCAUGGGAGCCAGAGAUUUGAGAAGAAGAAAGGAGGCAGAGAGUUCUCGCCGGAGGAGCGUGGUGCUCUCCGACGGCGGAUUCGCGGUGGGAAAACCCUUAUCCUAAAAAUCGCCUUUAGCCCUCAUGAGAGAGAAAAAUCAGAAAAUUCAUAAUUGUUCCCACAUUUAUCCAGCUCUCCUUCUCUAUUUUGUUCGUAGAUUCUUUAUUUUUGUUUCGUUUUUUAAAUCUUUAGAUCUUUAUAAUUUAAAAAAAAAGAAAAAAGAAAUUCAUCUCAAAUUUGUUUUGCACUACUUUUUCAUAUUAUGUUCUUCAUCUAGACUUUUUUGGUUCCUUUUAUUUUAUUUUCUAUGUUUGAUUUUUCUCAUUAAUAUAUUUUAUCUCUAAUGAACUCUCUUUCCAGGGUUGGGAAGUUGCUGAAGAUCCAAGAUGAAUCCAGAGUGAUGGCUAGCAAUUUCGUGAUGUUUGUUGAUAUAUAUAACAUUUAUGUUAGCAACCAUUUUACUUGUUACCCAAUAUUAUUUAUGUUUAUUAGUGUAUCUUUUGUUUUCUAUCGCCAUUUGAGAUCAAUAGAUAUAUAGUUGGUUAAAUAAUAUAUGGCUUGUUAGGCGUUAAAUUUUUCUUGGUACUUUAUUUAUUAGCUAAUACAUUAUUUGUUAGCUGAUACAUAUUUUCGUAGUAGAUACAAUUUUUUAUUAUGUAUGUUAUUGAUUCUUUUAACAUACUAGACAUAAUCAUGAUCAUCUAACAAAGCAUAUUAUAUGGUUUGUUAGCUGAUAUAUGUUUUUUUUUCUGAUUAAAUAUCAAAUUUAUUGAUCAAAGUGAAAAAGGAAUUUACAUAAAAUGAUAUAUUGUUCUAAUCUGUAAAGAAUAAAACAAUGAUAUGUUCUAAUAUGUGUAGACAGUAAACUAUCUCAUAAAUAGUCCGCUCAGCUUAUGGUUUUCCCUAUACUUCAAAGAUGAGAUGCGCUUCUUGACAAUAUUCCCAAUGGCCUUAGUAGUUGUAUCAACAGGUGCACACACCUCCGUGCCGUCUUGAGUUCCUCUCCUUCCACAACAUAUAAAUGACUGUUUGGAAAACUAAGCGGAGGAGUAUAGCAUCGAGUCUGCUCCUGUUCUGGCGUAACAGGGAGGUGACUAUAUCUUUCCAGUCCGGUGUUAUCGCUAGACCAAAUAAUUUCUUUGCUACGUUUAUCCAAACUGUGAAGGUAUAAGGGCAAGCGAAAAACAAAUGAUCUCUGCUUUCAUCCUUGUCUCCACAGUAGACACAUCAUUGCUCCAUUCUCCAUUCUUUCAUUCUAGUGCCUGUUGAUAAUCUGUCCUUGAAAACUAACCAUACCACGAAGGAUUGUCGGGGUAUGGCCUGAGGGAACCACACAAUACAAUGCCAAGGAAGCUUUGUCUUUUUAACUCUCAGGUAGUUCCAAGUCUUGGUAGCUGAGAAAUAUGGUUUCAAAUCAUCCUGGUCAUGUCUCCAUAGAGCUAUAUCUGGCCCUGCAGUAGCUACCGGCUGUGGAAUCUCUGCAAGCUGAUAUAUGAUUUUUUGAAUAGACAGUUUUUUGUUUUUUGUUUGUUAGAUGAUAAAUGGAUUGAUACAUAUUUUGUGAGUAAUACAUUGUCUAAUAAACGGUUCGUUAUUUAAUAAAUGAUUUGUUAUCUGGUACAUGUU